rnacentral:rRNA from 1 species
UACAGAGGUCUCAAGCGUUGUUCGGAUUCAUUGGGCGUAAAGGGCGCGUAGGCUGCGGGGCAAGUCGGGUGUGAAAUCUCAGAGCUCAACUCUGAAGCUGCACUCGAUACUGCUUUGCUUGAGGACUGGAGAGGAGAUUGGAAUUCACGGUGUAGCAGUGAAAUGCGUAGAUAUCGUGAGGAAGACCAGUGGCGAAGGCGGAUCUCUGGACAGUUCCUGACGCUGAGGCGCGAAGGCCAGGGGAGCAAACGGG